rnacentral:rRNA from 1 species
UACGUAGGGUGCAAGCGUUGUCCGGAAUUAUUGGGCGUAAAGAGCUUGUAGGCGGUUUGUCGCGUCUGCUGUGAAAUUUCGGGGCUCAACCCCGAACUUGCAGUGGGUACGGGCAGACUAGAGUGUGGUAGGGGAGACUGGAAUACCUGGUGUAGCGGUGAAAUGCGCAGAUAUCAGGAGGAACACCGAUGGCGAAGGCAGGUCUCUGGGCCACUACUGACGCUGAGAAGCGAAAGCAUGGGGAGCGAACAGG